UUGAUGCCUCUGUCACUUUCUCUGCUAGCUAAUCUUUUAAAAAAGAAAUGGGUGAAGAGGGUUGCAUUUUAAUGAUAAUUUUUAAUUGAGAUUUCAUUUGAAAGCACAUGUGGUAAUAAAAGACAGACUGGGAGCUCAGUUAACACGGAUGCACAGGGAAAGAAGCAUAGCUUUGGGGAGGAGCAUUAGGAAUUCAUGGUGGAAUGUUUGGAAUAGAAAUAUCACUUGCCUGCUUGAUAUUCCAGAUUUCUCCCUGAACAUUAUUCUUCUGAAUGCAAAUAUCCCAGCCAUUAUUGGAACAGAAAGUUCGCCAACAAUACAUCCGGGAGUAGUGCCGCGGUCUAAUGAUACCUAGAUUAGAAUAUAAUUAUUCUGGCAGGCACAGGAAUGCUAAUACUACGGACUGCAACGAGAUUAGCACUUUUAACAACUGGUAAGAGCUGUAUUUAAAAUUAUUUGUAUAUGCAUAUUAUUACUCCUUUUAGUCUCAUCGCCACCAGUAAUUAUCCCAACAGGGCACACUGGGACAAUAUUUGAAAGCCAAACCAUGUUCUUAUGGUAUAUUGACAUUUUGUUUUGUUAUUCUGGAUUUUCUGACAUUGUCUCCUGUUCUCUAACAGUACAUUUAUUCCACCACAAAUAGUGAAGUCCUUGGCAUGCCACUGAAGGGCUGCCAAUUUUAACUGCAUAUAAAGCUUUUUAGGUUGAACUUUCAAAGAUCCAUAUUUCUCUAUACAGGAAUGUUUUAUUAGUUUCACUUUCUUCUAUGCUCCAUACAAUACCAAAAAUACCAUCCCUGUGCCCCAGUUCUUUCCACCCUGCACAUCUAUACUAUAGAAUGAAUAUAGUUUGACACACAUUCAAUGCUAUGGCAUGCUCGGAGUUGCAGUUUGGUGCUUUUACACCUUGUCAGCUGCUGAUAUUCUAAGACCCAUUGUCCAGGUUUCGAGGAGCUUUUCGAGUUGCUGUCAAAGAGGGAUUACAACCAGAUUAGGUGACCCGAGUAUUGCUACCUGAAUUAUUCCAUUUCUGACCUAAACUGUGAGUAUUUAAAUGCUCUCCGAAAGCCCAUUCAGCUGCCUCUUGGCACUUUGCCGUGUUGCUGAGAGGUCCAGUUUGUGAUGAUUUCCCCACGGCAGAGGGUUAUAUUCGCCGUCCGUGCGAAAGAAAGAAAAAAGAGAUGAUUUAUACGUCGCCGGCUCAUAGAAAUGAUGUUUAAAUCCCUCACAAGCAAGGAACUGACAUGUAUAAAGAAUGGAGGAAAUGAAAUAAAAUUAAAAGUGAUGUAGUUCCUCCGCAAAGAACAUUAUUUGUGAGCUAUGUGCAAGGAAUGAACAAUGUGCAAUCCUUGCGGACCCUGGUUCUGGCAUUGUGAUGCAUAACCUCCUUCCCUUUCCUCCUUUUCUCCUUUCUCUCUCUCCUCCCUCCCUUUUGUAUUUCUUCUCGAUAAUUUAUUUUCCACUCAGAGAUCAAAUGGAAGGAAGCAAGAUGUCUGAAUUAUGGGCUUGCUUUUUCCUGGCUAGAAUUGAACUUGCUAGUUGCUACCGAUUAAUGCCUAGAGGACGUUUGGAAAGCAAAUGUGGACAUUCUCAAGGAUAUCAGAUGAUGAUGAUGAUGAUGAUGAUGAUGAUGAUGAUGAUGAUGAUGAUGAUGAUGAUUUUGAUGAAUUGAAUAAGAGUUGGAAGGGGCCAUAAGAUUCACCUAGCCCAUGCAUAGGCAAACUUUGGCCCUCCAGGAAACCAUUAUCUCUGUCAUGCAAGUGUGCAUCUAUACCAGUGGUUCUCAACCUUCCUAAUGCCGCAACCCCUUAAUACAGUUCCUCAUGUUGUGGUGACUCCCCCAACCAUAAAAUUAUUUUCAUUGCUACUUUAUAACUGUCAUUUUGCUCCUGUUAUGAAUCUCAAUGUGAAUAUCUGAUACGCAGGAUGCAUUUCCAUUCAUUGGCUCAAAUCUGGCACAAAUACCCGAUACGCCCAAAUUUGAAUACUGGUGGAGUUGGGGGGGAAUUAUUUUGUCAUUUGAGACUUGAAGUUGCUGGGAUUUAUAGUUCACCUACAAUCAAUGAGCAUUCUGAACUACAGCAACAACGGAACAGAACCAAACCUGUCACACAGAACUCCCAUGACCAACAGAAAAUAUUGGAAGGCUUUGGUGGGCAUUGACGAUGGGUUUUGGAGUUGUAGUUCACCUACAUCCAGAGAGUACUGUGGACUCAAACAAUGCUGUAUCUGGACCAACACUUGAUACAAUUUGCCCAAAUUUGAACACUAGUUCAAUAGACCUUGAAAUUUGGUAGCUGUAGUUGAUGGGAUUUAUAGUUCACCUACAAUCAAAGAGCCCCUUGAAGCCCACCAAUGACAGAAUUGAGCCAAACUUCCCACACAGAACCCCCAUGACCAACAGAAAAUACUAGUCUCUGGUGGCCCCUCUGACACGCUUCUCGUGACCCCUCCCUCAGGGGUCCUGACCUACAAGUUGAGAAACACUGAUCUACACUGUAGAAAGAAUGCAGUUUGACACCACUUUAACUGCUAUGGCUCUAUCCACUGCAAUCAUAGGAUUUUUAGAAGUCAUUUCAGAACCACUGGGAGUGUGAUGGAAACUCCUUCCUUGGAAGCUUUUAAACAGAAUCUGGAUGGCCAUCUGUCAGGAGUGCUUUGAAUGUGAUAUUCCUGCAUGGAAGGGGGUUGGACUAGAUGGCCCAUAUGGUCUCUUCCAACUCUAUUAUUCUAUGAUUCUUUGUUAGAGAAAGCUAAGACCUUGUAAAACUACAAUUUCCAUGGCUCCAUAGCUUUGGGUCAUGGCGGUUAAAGUGAUGUCAAGCGGUAUUCCUUCUGCUGUGUAGAUGCACCCCAUGGGUCUCCUUUCUUCUUAGGUCUGUCCAUGCCUUCAUGGUUAUAAAGAGAUCCCAUUAUGCUGUAGCUGUUCUCCUUGGUCAAAGGAAUUUUGCUCACUUCUUUAAGAAGCUUGGAAGAAAGGUCUGCAUUGUAUUAUAUAAAAGAUUUAAAGCGCCCACUGAUCCACAGAUAUAAUCGAAGCCAAGUGAGGAUAAAAGUUAUGCUGCCUAUUGUAAGGAGGCGUUUUCUCUUCCAGAAUUCAGACACUAUUGAAGAAGGAAUGAAAUAAAUACCAAAAACAGGAGACCGCUAACAUUCUUCCACCCACAUCCAUACAUACUCCCAUUUCCCUUGAACUUGAUAGUUAAGACUAUGUCACUUUCUUCCCAAAGCACAUUGCCUGAAAAGGAGAGUCAUUUUUCAUGUAAAAAACAGGAUGGGGAAAAUAGUGCAAAGAAAUCCACUUUUUUGAACUAGCCUAGGAUUCUGUCAAAAGUUCCUUGAAAUACACAGAAAUCAGGCUGCCUUUCCUCGUUUGGACUUUUUACAACUACAGAAACUUUUCAGGUUUUAACGUCAUCUCUCAGUUCAGAGUCAACUCAGGAAAAUGGCUGUAUCCCAGUAUCCAACGCGAGUGGAAGUUUUUACAUCCAUGCCUAGAAGUUGAAGACGGUGCAUUAUGGAGGUGUUGGUGGUGACUGGGAAAGUUCCAUGUUAGUAGAGCAGGGAAUACAGAAUUUGGGCCAGUUUUGAAGGAGUUCUCCAAGGUGCUCAACUUAUUUAGUAAGAAUUUUCAGGACCUUGAGGAGCUCCAUUACACACCGGAUUAAAACCUGAAGUGGAUUCAAGGCUCUACUGAAAUGGGAACCCCCAGCUUCGACUAUGUGGAAGAGCAUGAUCAUGGGCACAUCUACACCGACCACAUAAUGUGAGAUGAAAGCAACAGAGGAGGAAGCUAUUUAGGUGGGGAACUGAUCACACAUCAAGGUCAGGAACUGGGCAAUGCUUCAUGGCCAAAUAUGAUUGUCUGCCAUGAGUAGAGUCUUGCAUUGAGUGACUCUAGACACCUGUUCUGGAUCUGCAUGGUCUUUCAUAGUGAAAGGAGGUCCCGGCAAGGGUUUGUUUGACCCGCCUUUCUCUUGGCAGGGCUUAUACACAUUUGCGGUAUCUGCAGCUUCACAGCCAUGAAGAAGUUGGGUACUUUUCCCCCAUCAUGCCAUACAAUGUGCAUGUAUGGAUCACUGGAAUGCCAGACCCUUGUUCAGUUUCACCAUGCAAUAUAGUUUGCACCAAUGUAUGCUUAUGUGCAUCACAGACCCUAUCCCCCAAUUUUGCUAUCUCAAUUUAAGGCCUCUGAUUCAUGUUCUUGCGCAUAUAGUUGUACCCUAAACCAUUUAAACACCACAUUUUCAAGCUAUUCACAUUAGGUGGUCAGUGUAGAUGUGUGCCAUGAUACACAGUUUCUAACACAUGAAAGUGUUGCUAUCUGAUACUCAUCUGUUUGUUAAGAUGAUUCAUAUUAGAGAGAAUAUUCCUUCAAAUCCUCAUAAGCAAAGCAAAAAAAUUAGGAUUUUCCUCUGUAGACAGCUCUUUUAAAAACAUUUAUUAUUUUGGGGUAUUAUUUAUUUAUUUAUAUUGUUAAAUCUGUUACUGAACUUGGCUUUUGAAUGCCAGUGACUUUGAUCCUCUGCUCGCUCACUCUCCAGUGGUUUGGUGUCUGAGAAUGGCUAUUUACAAAUGGGCAGACGGGACUGUGAUGUGAUUUUUUUUAUUUCAUGCACAUGGCUCUGGAGAUGAGGCUUUCUGGGGAAAUAUGUUUGAUGUCACAGCAGCAAAAGAAGAACUAUUUUCAUUUGCUUUCCAUUUAUUUUCCCCUGCCCUGUUUAAUUCUUUCAUUUUGAAUGCUCGGCUUUCUUCCAGCAUCUCUAAUCUCUUUUACUUGCUCUGAAAGAUAAUGCGGGAGAUGACUCACAACACCUAGCAAAAUCUUAAUAGAUGCAAUGAAAGUGGAGAAGAACAGGUGGGUGGAAGAUUAGGUGGUCAAGAGCUCUUUAUCUAAAUGCCUUCUACCCAAAAUCUCUCAUGUGGUGAAAGGUUGAAAUAUUUGGGCAACACGCAACAUGCUGAUUCUCAUGCAGGUUCACUGUCAACCACUUGGCCAACCAUUCUGGACAGCCUUGAAUAAGCAUUUUUGAACCUACCACCCUGAAAUGUGAGCCAUGCCCUUUCCUUCAUUGUCGUAGCUUUGUUUCCUACCAAAAGCUACUUUAGAGGACCUACAGCUUCACCAACAUAGGGAUUUCCAAGGCACAUGGAAUGAAACAAAAGAAGGUUCCAGGCAGCCACGCUCUCCGUGGGCCACACUAUGCCCUUGGGGUAUGAGCAUUGUAUGAACGUUAACUCUACAUAAACAUGAUGUAGGGUCUCAGCUGAUGUCUCACUCCUACUCUGAAAAGACCCAAAUAAUGAGCUGGUGCUGUGCUCUCCCAUGUUUCCGCAUGCAAAAAAAGUUUGUAAAUACCUGCAAAACUGGGAGAACCAGAAAGAAAAAAACCCUGCUGUCUUUAACUGACAUACAAGGAAAACAGUUGCAGGACAUUGUUAUACAUGCCAUUUUUUUAAAAAAAAAAUGGUAGGUCAGGCCCCUGAAGCCCUAGAACUAUCACACUCUGCUUCAUGCUUUUGUCCCCCUUGGAUAAAUAUAUUGUCACAUAUAAUCGAACAUGCCAAAGGCUUAACUAGGUCUGAUUCUCAAUUGCCUGGAACUUGUUGUGAUGUCUCCAGCUGCUCACUGUACUGAAUCCAGCUGUAAUAUUCAUGUUGACAACAGAUUUUUAAUGUCCAUUUAUACAUUUGCUUUGUGGAGAAAAUACAACCACAGCAACCCAUUGAUUGGGGUCCUCUUGGUGUCUUACACAUACACAUAACCCAUGAUGGGAGAAAGGCAGGAUAUAAAUCCUAUAAUUAGCACCUGACCAGCAGGUGCCAAGGCUAUAUCCACUUCAACUGUGUCAACUACAGCAUCCAAGUCUGAGCGAAACUGAGCAAUUUUAUCUGCAACAUGCUGUGCAAAUUCUUUACAGAUAGCUGUUGAGUGCAUCUUUCCCUUGAAGACACAUUGGUAAUAGUCUUCUGAUCACUGAAAACAGAUCCAUUGAGCAGUCCUUGGCAGAUGCAAUGGUGGCAGCAAAAAAUAUUUCUUUGCUGCCCUCAUUGCCAUGGAUUAGGCCUUCAAAUGAGGUCUAGUCCAUGUCCGGUCAGUUUUGCUUCAUGUUUUCUCUGUCUCGCUUGCUUCAUCACUGCCAGCUCCUUGGAAAACCAGGAGGCUGGUUUGGGUCCACUCCAUAAGAGGAGAUGGUCAUCCUGGUCAUUUCCCCAUUCCAAAGGUCAACCAUAGCUUCAACAGAUUCAACUGCAAAAGUAACAGGAAACUUCCCAAGAACCAUCAAGAAUCUAUCCAAAUCCAUCAACCUCCUUGGGCAGACCUUCCUAAUCCUCACACCUGCAGAGGUUUUGAAUCCCAGACCACUAAACCUAAUGACGUGAUGAUUGAUCCAUGACAACCAAACCGUAUAAAGUUCCUCCAUACCACAACCAUUAUCAUCUCAUGUUUUAAUUGUUUUUAAAUUGUUGUUGUUGUUGUAUGCUUUUUCUUGAUGUAUUUAUUGCUGUGUUUGGAUUUCUUUUUACUGUUGUAUUUUUAUAUUGUUUGGGCAUGGUCCCUUUGUAAGCCGCCCCGAGUCCCCUUGGGGAGAUGAGGCAGGAUAUAAGAAUAAAGUAUUAUUAUUAUCUCAUCCCACACAAAAAAACUAGUAGGAACAGACACCACUUGGGACAGAACCAUGGUUGUCAAGGAGGCUAUGAACUCCUGACACGGCAGUCUCAGCAUGGAUGUUGAAGUCCCCAAGCACAAUAAGAUGCUGAGACUCCAGCACUAAUCCUGGCAAACUCAGGAAGGGAGACUGUUGAGCAGCAGGGUGGGAAGUAGACCAACAGGAUCCCUUUCCUGACCCAGCUGCCCACCUUUAGGUAUAAUACUGGAACUUUGCAGACUGUAGGAUGGAGAACCUGCUCAAGGGGGGUGGGAUCAUGAUAGACUACUGCCGCUCCACUUCCUUACCCCCAGAUCUCAGCUACUGCUACACAAAACAAAACCCAGGCAAGCAAGGCUAAGAGAUUAACCCCCAUGCCAAGUCUCAUCCAUAAAGGUUUCCGUAAUACAAGCCAGGUCAGCAUGCUCAUCCAGAAACAGGUCCUCUGUGGCACUUGUUUUUCCAUUUACUGUAAAUGUGCAUACACAUUUGUAUGUUUAUUUAGUUGGGCAAUGUCAUACUUCACCAAUCGGGAUGUGAGGUGGGGGGGGGGGGGUUGUUCACAAACAUUGAACCUUAACUCUGUGUGUUUGGAUGGAAGAUCUCAGCCUUAUAUCCUUCUUUCUUGGAAGAGGUUAUUUAUGAGCACAGCGCAAGCAAACACAUGUUGAGGGAAUAUCGUGUUUCAAAUAAGAAUGAAUAGAAAUUGUGAUCUGACAGUUUAGUUUUAUCCCCCGUCUCCUCUCUCCAGGCACCAUUUCUCCCGUUCUUGAACCACUAUUAUGGCUGGGAAAACAUUUAUGCAAAGCACAAGGAAAUGUGCCUUGCUCUGCUGCCCAUCCAAUUACUUAUUUUCUCUGAUAGAGUCUCAUUUCAAUGUAAUACUAUUUCCCCAACCAAAAAAAAAACCUGAACAGCACAGGGAUUGAUGGCUUGACACAUGUUGCUUGGUUCCAGAACCAACGAGGUGCUAUUAAUCCCAGCCAAAGGAGAUGAUGGAAAUGUAAGGAUCAAGCAAGACAGAGAUAUGGAAGACAGGUUUGUCUGUAUUUAAAAAUCUGCCCAUAGUGAACAAAGUUCUGGACACAGAAAAAGGGCACAUCUCCACUCUUUAGUUUUUUAAUGCUGGAAUGGUAAGAAUCUCUUCAGUUUGGGACCUAUUGUGCGUAAAAUUUACAAGUGUUUUUGUUUACACCAAAACAGGAUUUUGCUACAGAGAAAAUAAUACUUUUAUGCAGAAAUAUUAUUUUCUAUCAAGAAAAAAAGCUGUCAUCAGAAUCCAACACUCAAACUACUACACAAUACAAGAUCUCGUGUAUAACAUGCAAAUAUUUACACCAGGAGAAAGAGAUGGGCAAGAAGAAAAGUCAGAUGAGAUUCAGAGCAACUCAAUGGUGGAGAGAGAGAGAGAGAUUUUCCCCAUCCCUGUUCAACAGCUGGUCUUGGCAUCAUUUGCUUUCAUAAAGGUUACAUUUACACAAUAUCCGGUAUGUGCCUUUCCCUUGGGACAGAUGUGAGGAGACUGCAGAGGUGAGAAACAGACAUACAAGCUCAGCAAUCCCUCACUUAAAUCCUGAGCAGAAGAUGGGGAACAAUGGAGCUCAAUUUGAAAUACAUUUACAUGGUUUUGCAAGCCAGAUAGGAUCUAACACUGAAAUAAUCAUAACCGGUAGAGGAAGCACACUUUCAUAUUAUGUACUUAGAACAUAACUAAGAUGUUUUGUAAAUUCAAUGUUUAUAUGGUUAUUUAUAUAGCUCUUGUAUUUCUGGCCUGUGGCUGAAAUAAAUUUAUUGAUUGAUUCA